rnacentral:rRNA from 1 species
AGAGUUUGAUCAUGGCUCAGAUUGAACGCUGGCGGCAUGCCUUACACAUGCAAGUCGAACGCGAAAGGGGGGCAACCCCCAAGUAGAGUGGCGAACGGGUGAGUAACACAUCGGAACGUGCCCAGUAGUGGGGGACAACCUCGAGAAAUCGAGGCUAAUACCGCAUACGACCCACGGGUGAAAGCGGGGGACCGCAAGGCCUCGCGCUAUUGGAGCGGCCGAUGUCCGAUUAGCUAGUUGGCGGGGUAAGAGCCCACCAAGGCGACGAUCGGUAGCUGGUCUGAGAGGACGACCAGCCACACUGGGACUGAGACACGGCCCAGACUCCUACGGGAGGCAGCAGUGGGGAAUUUUGGACAAUGGGCGCAAGCCUGAUCCAGCCAUGCCGCGUGCGGGAAGAAGGCCUUCGGGUUGUAAACCGCUUUCGGCCGGAACGAAAUCGCCCGGGUGAACAUCCCGGGUGGAUGACGGUACCGAAGAAGAG